GGCCGCGUAGCUCAGCGGUAGAGCAUCUGAUUCCAGUCCAGAAGGUCAUCCGUUCAAAUCGGGUCGUGGUCA
rnacentral:tRNA from 1 species